AUGUGCCUUUCAUCCUCCUUCUUCUUUUUCUUCCCUUUCAGGGCCAUACCUGCAGCACAUGGAGGUUCCCAAGCUGGGGUUGAAUCCGAGCUGCAUCUGCCGCCUAUACCACGGCUCAGGUCACGCCGGAUCCUUAACCCAGUGAGCAUAGCCAGGGGUGGAACCUGCAUCCUCAUGGAUACUAGUCAGGUUCUUAACCCCCUGGGCCGCACCGACUACCCGCCCCCCUUAUCCUCAUUCUUAAGUAUGAGCAAGUCUGGCUGGCAGGCUACAGAUUUACAGAGAAUCAGAGGCCUGGACAUAUGCCCUGAAUUCCUGAACCCCCGAAGAUGCUGGGGAGGCAGGGGCAGGGGUCCCUUGGAGGCGGGUGUUCCUGCAGCGGUGUGGGGGUCCCACCCGACCUGGGGCAGCUUCAGAACCUGGGUAGGUGGGCUCCGUGCUGGCCGGAGGCAGGCGCAGCUGAGGGCGGGACUGGCUCUGGGGCCUGUCACCAGGGGACUGUCUCCAUUUAGGAAGCCACCACCGCCCCCGCUCCUGUGGGGGGUGCUCAGCUGGCCCAGGCCAUGGUCUGAUGGGCUCUGGUCGAGAUGCGCAGGCAGAGCCCAUGAGCGGAGGUGGGGUCGCGACCCCCUACAGGGAGAGUGUCUCCCACUCCUCUCAUCCCCAAGCCCCGGUCAAGGGCUCGGACCAGCUCUGGGGUUGCCCAAAUCCAAAGGCAGGAGCAUGGAACCGGCUUCCUGGAGGACGGUGUGCGGCCCCCGGCGGGACAGAGCGGCUCACCUGGUGAUGGAAAGUUUUCAGGGGAAGGCGCAUUCCUUCCUCCUAGAGGCCGGGGGAGCAGAACCCUCAUUUGCACACAUUAGCCUUUCAGAUGGCGCCACUGCUCAUGCAAGACCUGCUUGGCACAGAGCGGCUCUGGGGGACUCGAUGCCUGCACGGCCAUGCCGGGCACCUGCAGCGGCUCCACCGGCCCCCACAGCCUCCUCCCCCGAGGCCUCCUCAGAAGGACCACAGGGAGGACAAAGUCUCGGCUGCUAG
rnacentral:lncRNA from 1 species